rnacentral:rRNA from 1 species
GCGAACGGGUGAGUAACACGUGGGCAAUCUGCCCUUCACUCUGGGACAAGCCCUGGAAACGGGGUCUAAUACCGGAUAAUACUUUUCCUCUCAUGGGGGAAGGUUAAAAGCUCCGGCGGUGAAGGAUGAGCCCGCGGCCUAUCAGCUAGUUGGUGGGGUAAUGGCCUACCAAGGCGACGACGGGUAGCCGGCCUGAGAGGGCGACCGGCCACACUGGGACUGAGACACGGCCCAGACUCCUACGGGAGGCAGCAGUGGGGAAUAUUGCACAAUGGGCGAAAGCCUGAUGCAGCGACGCCGCGUGAGGGAUGACGGCCUUCGGGUUGUAAACCUCUUUCAGCAGGGAAGAAGCGAAAGUGACGGUACCUGCAGAAGAAGCGCCGGCUAACUACGUGCCAGCAGCCGCGGUAAUACGUAGGGCGCAAGCGUUGUCCGGAAUUAUUGGGCGUAAAGAGCUCGUAGGCGGCUUGUUGCGUCGGUUGUGAAAGCCCGGGGCUUAACCCCGGGUCUGCAGUCGAUACGGGCAGGCUAGAGUGUGGUAGGGGAGAUCGGAAUUCCUGGUGUAGCGGUGAAAUGCGCAGAUAUCAGGAGGAACACCGGUGGCGAAGGCGGAUCUCUGGGCCAUUACUGACGCUGAGGAGCGAAAGCGUGGGGAGCGAACAGGAUUAGAUACCCUGGUAGUCCA